GGUUCUGAGGCGAAGCCCGUAA
rnacentral:snRNA from 1 species